rnacentral:lncRNA from 1 species
CUGUCCUAAAGCAAGAACUCUGUUCACACUCUCUUACUGUUUACGUUAAUUAAGGAGGUGCAGGGGAAUGUGCCUGGUUUCAGCUGGAACAACGUUAAUGACUCCUUGGAGAGAUAUGGAGUGAGUCUCAUCAACAUACCCGCUGCUGUAGUAAUGGACUCCAGGAGAAGUAAACUGAUCUCAUGUUUUCCUGGAGGCAACGUGGGCAGAAGGCAUGUGAUGUCUGUGAAGUUCGAGUGAAGAAUCUGGCAGUGUUUUCCUCCAACGUACACCGUAUUUUGUUGCUGACUAGACAUAAAAUCUUUUAUGAGACUCCAUUUGACCUCCUCUCUCCACUGAAUUUCAUCUUUACUUUGUGUCUACUUCUAAUAUUUCAGGUUAAAAUGAUGAAGAAAUGAUUUUUACAGACAACAAUGAAAGCNUUCUGAUAUUUGGAGAAACAUGUCACUUAUCUACUCGCCCACCUAGAUGCUUCCUCGUUAAUAAGAUUAGGACUAUUGGAGGUGAGGGAUGACUGAAGUCAGAGGCCUUACUUUUGAUGUUCUGCAGAGAUGGAAAUGGAGAAGUACCUGAGGAAAAGAAGGUCCAGCAACAGGCCCAAAGUGGGAUCCAGCUCAAUGGGAGGACCCAAGACCUGACACCAUCACUGAGGCUUUGGGACAUUCACAAGAAGGGACCUAUCACAAGA